rnacentral:rRNA from 1 species
UACGUAGGGGGCAAGCGUUGUCCGGAAUCAUUGGGCGUAAAGAGCGUGUAGGCGGUCCGAUAAGUCCGCUCUGAAAGCCCGGGGCUCAACCCCGGGAGGCGGGCGGAUACUGUCGGGCUAGAGUCCGGAAGAGGCAAGUGGAAUUCCUGGUGUAGCGGUGAAAUGCGCAGAUAUCAGGAGGAACACCGAUGGCGAAGGCAGCUUGCUGGGACGGUACUGACGCUGAGGCACGAAAGCGUGGGUAGCAAACAGG